rnacentral:rRNA from 1 species
GGAUUAGAUACCCUGGUAGUCCACGCCGUAAACGAUGUCUACUAGCCGUUGGGAGGCUUGACCUUUUAGUGGCGCAGCUAACGCGAUAAGUAGACCGCCUGGGGAGUACGGUCGCAAGAUUAAAACUCAAAUGAAUUGACGGGGGCCCGCACAAGCGGUGGAGCAUGUGGUUUAAUUCGAGGCAACGCGAAAAACCUUACCAGGCCUUGACAUCCAGAGAACUUACCAGAGAUGGUUUGGUGCCUUCGGGAACUCUGUGACAGGUGUUGCAUGGCUGUCGUCAGCUCGUGCCG